rnacentral:rRNA from 1 species
UACGGAGGAAGCAAGCGUUAUCCGGAAUUACUGGGCGUAAAGAGUUGCGUAGGUGGCAAAGUGUGUCAGUAGUGAAAGAGUGUGGCUCAACCAUAUAAACAUUACUGAAACUGCUUAGCUAGAGGACGAGAGAGGUUAUUGGAAUUCCCAGUGUAGGAGUGAAAUCCGUAGAUAUUGGGAGGAACACCGAUGGCGUAGGCAGAUAACUGGCUCGUUCCUGACACUAAGGCACGAAAGCGUGGGGAGCAAACGGG